GGGUAGCGCUUUGACUCGAGCACGUGAUAUAUUCUGGCAGGGGAGGCCCCGCCUCGUCUUUCGCUCGUUUACGCUUCUCUUCCUCCUACCAGCGAAAGCAUGUUUAGGGUAAUUGUUUUAUGGGUAAUACUGAUGAAAAGAAGCCAAACUGUACAACACACAGGCUCAUUACUUUGGUUUCCAUCAUAUGACAAAAACAUGUAUCAGAUGUUCUCCUCUGCCCAGCAUUUGAACAGUGAUCUCUACAAGGAUUUCUAUGUAAACCAGGGCUGCUCAACUUCAGCCACCCUGCAGAUGUUGGCCGACAGUUCCUAUAAACGCUGGCUACUGGCCACUGUGGCUGGGAAUUAUGGACAUUGUGAUUCAAAAACAGCUGGUGGCCUAAGUUGAGGAUGUCUGAUGUAAACUAUUGCUUCUAAGAUUUUAAACAAAUUAUAAAUUUCUUAUUCAUUGUAUAUUCAACUUAUGUGGAGGAACAACUUCCUUAACCCUUGGUUAUCUGUGGUUACCAAAAAAGUGCUGAGUUUGGGGCUUUCUCCCUCCAGUUUAUUGUCUCUGUGUUCUACCAGCGCUAAGGCUAUUAUGAUCCAAUGUCUUAGAGACCUUGAGUAUCAAUGCCUUGUCUCCUUAGCGAACAGAUGCUGCUCUCCCAUAUAUCUUGGUAUUUCCCUACCUGCUCGAAAUCAUCCUGCUAAAUAUCUCUCGACGCACCAUCUGGUUAAAUUGAGGUCAGCCUUUGCAAGAGCCAGGCUGAAUGUUUUACCCUCUGCCUUGCUCCUUAGAAGGUUUUGCAAGGAUUCCCCUGUUUCGGGGCUAUGUUCUUGUGAAGAGGGCUGUUUAGAAACAGUUGCUCGUGUGCUUUUGUACUGCCCUCUGUUCCGUGACUCAAGGAAAGAAUUAUUGACCCCCCUAUUUGUUCAGUGCCCAGGCAGGGCUAACCCGUUUUAUCUUAAUUUAUGUCUUGCUGAUGUUAAUGUGUGUAUUUACUAAACUGGUUGCUAAAUUUUUAUAUGGAGCUAUGAAACUGAGCACUCAUCAUGGGGUUUUAUGAGGCUGAUUGUGUAUCUUUUAGUUAUUUUAUGCUGUAUAUUUAUUUAUGAUAACUGUCUAAAGUUUUAAUUUUGUUUGGCUUAUGGCCAUAAAUAAAAUGAUUGAUUGACUGAUUGAAAUUUCUUAUUGGAGAAUAAAGAUUGAAUUCAGUCUCA